rnacentral:rRNA from 1 species
AUUGAACGCUGGCGGCAGGCCUAACACAUGCAAGUCGAACGAGUGGCGGACGGGUGAGUAAUGUCUGGGAAACUGCCCGGUGGAGGGGGAUAACUACUGGAAACGGUAGCUAAUACCGCAUACCAUCGGAUGUGCCCAGAUGGGAUUGGCUAGUAGGUGGGGUACCGGCUCACCUAGGCGACGAUCCGUCGCUGGGCUGAGAGGAUGACAGGCCACACUGGAACUGAGACACGGUCCAGACUCCUAGGGGAGGAAGCAGUGGGGAAUUUUGGACAAUGGGCGCAAGCCUGAUACAGCCAUGCCGCGUGUAUGAAGAAGGCCUUCGGGUUGUAAAGUACUUUCAGCGAGGAGGCGUUACUCGCCGAAGAAGCACCGGCUAACUCCGUGCCAGCAGCCGCGGUAAUAC